rnacentral:rRNA from 1 species
ACCCGCUGAACUUAAGCAUAUCAAUAAGCGGAGGAAAAGAAACCAACAGGGAUUGCCCUAGUAACGGCGAGUGAAGCGGCAACAGCUCAAAUUUGAAAUCUGGCUCUUUUAGAGUCCGAGUUGUAAUUUGCAGAGGGCGCUUUGGCUUUGGCAGCGGUCCAAGUUCCUUGGAACAGGACGUCACAGAGGGUGAGAAUCCCGUACGUGGUCGCUGGCUAUUGCCGUGUAAAGCCCCUUCGACGAGUCGAGUUGUUUGGGAAUGCAGCUCUAAAUGGGAGGUACAUUUCUUCUAAAGCUAAAUAUUGGCCAGAGACCGAUAGCGCACAAGUAGAGUGAUCGAAAGAUGAAAAGCACUUUGGAAAGAGAGUCAAACAGCACGUGAAAUUGUUGAAAGGGAAGCGCUUGCAGCCAGACUUGCUUACAGUUGCUCAUCCGGGUUUCUACCCGGUGCACUCUUCUGUAGGCAGGCCAGCAUCAGUUUGGGCGGUAGGAUAAAGGUCUCUGUCACGUACCUCCUUUCGGGGAGGCCUUAUAGGGGAGACGACAUACUACCAGCCUGGACUGAGGUCCGCGCAUCUGCUAGGAUGCUGGCGUAAUGGCUGUAAGCGGCCCGUCUUGAAACACGGACC